rnacentral:rRNA from 1 species
UACGUAGGGGGCUAGCGUUGUCCGGAAUCAUUGGGCGUAAAGAGCGUGUAGGCGGCCCGGUAAGUCCGCUGUGAAAGUCGGGGGCUCAACCCUCGAAUGCCGGUGGAUACUGUCGGGCUAGAGUGCGGAAGAGGCGAGUGGAAUUCCUGGUGUAGCGGUGAAAUGCGCAGAUAUCAGGAGGAACACCGGUGGCGAAGGCGGGUCUCUGGGCUGUGAACUGACGCUGGAGGAGCGAAAGCGUGGGGAGCGAACAGG